rnacentral:rRNA from 1 species
AGUGAACGCUGGCGGUAGGCCUAACACAUGCAAGUCGAACGGCAGCACAGUAAGAGCUUGCUCUUACGGGUGGCGAGUGGCGGACGGGUGAGGAAUACAUCGGAAUCUACUUUUUCGUGGGGGAUAACGUAGGGAAACUUACGCUAAUACCGCAUACGACCUACGGGUGAAAGCAGGGGAUCUUCGGACCUUGCGCGAUUGAAUGAGCCGAUGUCGGAUUAGCUAGUUGGCGGGGUAAAGGCCCACCAAGGCGACGAUCCGUAGCUGGUCUGAGAGGAUGAUCAGCCACACUGGAACUGAGACACGGUCCAGACUCCUACGGGAGGCAGCAGUGGGGAAUAUUGGACAAAGGGCGCAAGCCUGAUCCAGCCAUACCGCGUGGGUGAAGAAGGCCUUCGGGUUGUAAAGCACUUUUGUUGGGAAAGAAAAGCAGCAGGUUAAUACCCCGCUGUUCUGACGGUACCCAAAGAAUAAGCACCGGCUAACUUCGUG